rnacentral:rRNA from 1 species
CUAUACAUGCAGUCGAGCGAACAGAAGGGAGCUUGCUCCCGGAUGUUAGCGGCGGACGGGUGAGUAACACGUGGGUAACCUGCCUGUAAGACUGGGAUAACUCCGGGAAACCGGAGCUAAUACCGGAUAGUUCCUUGAACCGCAUGGUUCAAGGAUGAAAGACGGUUUCGGCUGUCACUUACAGAUGGACCCGCGGCGCAUUAGCUAGUUGGUGGGGUAAUGGCUCACCAAGGCGACGAUGCGUAGCCGACCUGAGAGGGUGAUCGGCCACACUGGGACUGAGACACGGCCCAGACUCCUACGGGAGGCAGCAGUAGGGAAUCUUCCGCAAUGGACGAAAGUCUGACGGAGCAACGCCGCGUGAGUGAUGAAGGUUUUCGGAUCGUAAAGCUCUGUUGUUAGGGAAGAACAAGUGCGAGAGUAACUGCUCGCACCUUGACGGUACCUAACCAGAAAGCCACGGCUAACUACGUGCCAGCAGCCGCGGUAAUACGUAGGUGGCAAGCGUUGUCCGGAAUUAUUGGGCGUAAAGGGCUCGCAGGCGGUUUCUUAAGUCUGAUGUGAAAGCCCCCGGCUCAACCGGGGAGGGUCAUUGGAAACUGGGAAACUUGAGUGCAGAAGAGGAGAGUGGAAUUCCACGUGUAGCGGUGAAAUGCGUAGAGAUGUGGAGGAACACCAGUGGCGAAGGCGACUCUCUGGUCUGUAACUGACGCUGAGGAGCGAAA